rnacentral:rRNA from 1 species
UGCAGAAUCCCGUGAACCAUCGAGUCUUUGAACGCAAGUUGCGCCCGAGACCAUCCGGUCGAGGGCACGCCUGCCUGGGCGUCACGC